UGCCUUCUCCAGGUGUGUGUGAAAACAGGAACUGAGACAAACUCAGAAUUUACUUCACUUGAAGAGAUACUGGAUUAUGCCUUGGGCUACUCAGACCCUUUUCAAGUUUUGAGCCUCAGCAGACAGCUGGAAGAGGAUCAGGGAGGCCCUUCCACUGCAAACCUCAAAUCUUCUCCUGACAUUUAGUACUGCAGCCCAAAGCAGAGCCUGGCUUUUCCCUGUGGGAUUGGCUGGCAAACACUGUGCAGUACAACCAUCUCCAGGAAACAGCAGAUGACUCACAUGUUCACUUCCAGUCUGGUACAGACACUGUCAAAGCAAAUUUGUGUUGCUGGAUACUGAGCAGCAGGUGGUGUGCAAGGAAUAGAGAUUUUUGUUUUAUUUUUUAUUUAAGUUUGAAUCUGUUCUAAUUGUGUCUCUGAACUACAAUAAGGCUGUAGAGGCAGUGUAUUUUGAUGUCCAGUGUACCUUUUAAAACUCAAAAGCCAGCAGUACUGUUUUAAUGCAUUUCUGUUUAACAUUGUAGGGUUUUUUUUUGUUUUGUUUUCUACCCAUACUAAUAAUCUGAAAGAUAUUACACUGAAUAAUUUACUUUAUCAACCCAUUAGCAGCUACAGAAGAGAACUCCAACAAAAUGAACGUUCCUCAAUUAAAAGUCAACCCCCCAAAAGGUAAAUAUAAAUGCUAGAAAUCUGCUGCUGUACAGACUGAAGAGACUAGACUGCACACAAAUAAUAUGUAAAAUAUUACUAGGAGGAGUGGCCAUUUAUAGGCUUGAGUGCCACUCACACAAAGAGAUGGAUUUCACUACCAAUUUAUGUAACAACAAUGGGACCAGUUCUCUGCCUCAGUUUAUACAUGUGUACAAUCUGACAAAUUGCACAGCCCAGAUUUACUUGACUUCAACCCCAAAUAUCCUUUGCUUUCCCAUGGAUGAUCAUUCUCAACAUUUCAGAUUCUAAGCAAUUCCUAUGGGCAGAGAUUCUCAAAAGCUAAAUUUGAGGCAACGUCUUAUGAUAAAGCACUGUCACAGCCACUCUGAACAGCCAAGCCUCUCCCACUGUUCACAGUGCUUUUGGUUUUCCUCUGCUCGCACUCAAAACUGACAACUUCACCUAUUCCAUAUUCACAGGCUUUUACCAAGACUACCAGACCUGUCCUCAGGUAGAAUCAUCAGUAAUACAAACCUGGCUGGCCACUAGCCAUUAAAAAACCUGUUCCCAUUCAUUUAUAAGACUUUGUUGCCUUAUCCCUGCUUCCCCCUAGAUUCCACAUAUGUAAAACUCAGCCACUGUUGAGCACCUUCCUGUGUUUGUGAUCAGUAUUGUAUUUUCUACAGUGAUGCAAGAGGCUGGAACAGUGUGAAGCUUUUUUUUUAGAAAUAAACAAACACCCAAUUUC